AUGGGAUAUUUGCUCCUUGUAAUUUUUGCUGUAGCAUCUUUGAAAGGUGUCCGGUCCCAGGUGCAGCUGGUGGAGUCCGGAGGGGAUGUGAAAAAGCCUGGAGACUCUCUCCGCCUCGCCUGCAAAGCCUCCGGGUUCACCUUCAGCAGCUACCAGAUGGACUGGGUCCGACAGGCUCCUGGCAAGGGACUAGAAUGGGUCGCUUUUAUAAACACCGGUGGGGGUACUGUAUAUUACCCCGAUUCAGUGAAAGGCCGAUUCACCAUCUCCCGGGAUAAUUCCAAGAGUGAGCUGUAUCUGCAAAUGACCGGCCUGAAGCCCGAGGACACCGCCCGCUAUUACUGUGCGAGAGACACAGUGAAACAAAACCAAUUUGUGAUCAUACAAAAACCCAGGCUGCGGAAUCGCCCUUCUCCCGGCAGCCGCACGGGGGCAGCAGCUUCGGGCUCGGACAGGAGACCCGGCAACCAGGUGAAUGUAACACAAACUUCCUGUCAGUGA